GUUAUUGUUGCAAACUCCAUUAGAAAUUUGAAUUGAUAUCAGUUUUGGAAAAAGGGAAACGGGGAUGUGGAAAAAAAAGGGGGGGGGGUUAAAUUUUUCUCAUUUCAGAUUUCAUAAAUAAAAAGAAAAUUUCUUCAAACAUUUUUUUGAGAGGAUUAAUAUUCAACAGCAUAGUGAAUUGCUCAAAGGCAAAAAAAAUUUUUUAAGUUCAUUAGACCACAUUCAUUCUGUGUCAGAAACCUAUGCUGUGUCAACUAUUUAAUUUUAGAUUUAAAAAGUUUGAAGAAGAAAUCUUUAAUUGAUUUGUAAAUCUUGACAUUUGUUUUGUGUAAAAAAAAACAUGUAAUGUCAAAAAUUUGAUCACAAUCCAAAUUCAGAGCUGUAUCACGCUUGAAUGUUUUGUCCAUACUUGCCCUAACUGCUCAGGGUUCGACCUCUG
rnacentral:lncRNA from 1 species